GUCGGGCUGCGCGAGCGCCUCGUUCCGCACAAACUAUAUCUAGUAUGGAAAUGGCCAGUCAUUCCGCGACAGGUGCGCACUCGCUGCGUUCGUUCACGUGUGCUGUUAGUGAGUGCGCCAGGCAGUCCAGCGCCGCGACACUCGACGAAGGCUGAUAGACGGUGCUGUUGGAAGUGUUGAAAUUUGGAUGAAUUUUAUGGAGAAUUUUGUGACAACCUAACGCGAACUGGCUGCUUGUCUUGUGCCGGUAUGAUUGUUGAAGAUGGUUGCUGUCGAUCAAGCAAUAAAUCUCCACGCACUUAUCCUAUGCCUGAUGUUACUUCGAAACCCUAUUAUUACCAGGUAAGUUUAGUUUGAACGUACGCACACAACAUUGCUAUUCAAAAAGUAUGCAUAGAACAGAAUGCAUGUAGGUACAUUAAUAUAAGAACAUACUCUUAUCUAAUUUAUACUUCUUUAUUGAUAUACAUAUAAAGCUGAAGAGUUUGGACACGCUGAUCUCAAGAACUACUAAACCCGUUUUGAGAUUUUUUUUACUAAUAGGAAACUGCCUUACUCCUUAGCGGUAUUAGCUAGGCUAUUCCGGGGAAACAUUUAUCCCGGUAAAACUCUUUCACGCGAGCGGAGUUGAAGGCAAAAACUAGUUUUAUAAUAAAUAAUUAUCAUAAAAGGCGCCACAGGAUAUUUUAUUAGUCUCCGGAUGUAAUUUGCACCGGAAAGAAAACAAGAUUUCAUAACAAGAACGAAUUAAAAACUAUAUCGAAAAUGAUAUAUCUAUCGAUCCACUUACAUCCGUUAAAUAUAAGCAAUAAAUCUGGCGGCUGUUAUGUAUGUUUGUGCGUUUAUUGAUUAUCCGUUGCACUGCCAAGGACGAUUUAUGAAAAUUGAUCGAUAUCUAUAUGAGGCGGGCAAAAAACUCGCUCCGGAUGAGCGUAGGCCGAAGUGGAAGGGUUCCUGAUAAAUCUCAUUUUAUUUUAUCAAAAUUUUUACUAUUUGACUUUACAUCUUAUUAAUUAAUGCGAAAGUUUGUUAAUAUUUGGAUAUUUGUUAGAAGGAAACGUAGAAAAAGCCGAACGGAUUGGGAUAAAAUUUGGUAUACGGGUAAGACCAUGUCUUGGAUAAUACAUAUAGCUAAUUUUUAUCCCGGUAAUUUGGUCUCAUGGAUUUUUUAGUAGAUGGCGCUAGCGUUGUGUUUUGUUUUAAAGACUUGCACGUAGGCAAAGGGCGUUAGUGGUGGAGUCUACGAUAAUUUUGAUAAAAUAUGGUCUUGUUUGAGUCGAUUGCAAAUUUGUUAAUUAAAACGAUUCGCACACUUUUUCUAAGAAAUAGAGAACUACGAAAGUAAUCAUACAAAUUGUACAAAUAAUAUAAAAUGUUAUGGACAACGUCGUUAGAAAAUCUGAAAGUCAUUACACCGUAAUUUCUAAUACACGAGUAUUUUGCAUUCGAUAUGGUGAUAGAAAACGUCAAGUAAUGGUAUGUAUGAGAUAU